rnacentral:rRNA from 1 species
UUGACCCGUCUUGAAGCACGGACCAAGGAGUUCAGCGUGUACGCGAGUCAUUGGGUGAUAAAACCUAAAGGCGUAAUGAAAGUGAAGGGAACUUCUCGUUUCUGAGGGAGGAUGAGCCGGUUACCCGCAAGGGGCCGCUCCGCACUCCCGGGGCGUCUCUUUCUCAUUGCGAGUGGAGGCGCACCCAGAGCGUACACGCUGAUACCCGAAAGAUGGUGAACUAUGCCUGGCCAGGACGAAGCCAGGGGAAACCCUGGUGGAGGUCCGCAGCGAUUCUGACGUGCAAAUCGAUCGUCGGAGCUGGGUAUAGGGGCGAAAGACCAAUCGAACCAUCUAGUAGCUGGUUCCCUCCGAAGUUUCCCUCAGGAUAGCUUGCGCUCAUGUGAACGAGUCUCAUCCGGUAGAGCGAAUGAUUAGAGGCCUUGGGGUCGAAACGACCUCAACCUAUUCUCAAACUCCAAAUAGAUGAGAACUCCGGCUUCCUUGAAACUUUGUUUUUGAAGCCGGGGGCUUGGAUCAGAGUGCCAAGUGGGCCAAUUUUGGUAAGCAGAACUGGCGCUGUGGGAUGAACCAAACGUCGAGUUAAGGCGCCUAAAUCGUCGCUCAUGUGAAACCAUGAAAGGCGUUGGUUGCUUAAGACAGCAGGACGGUGGCCAUGGAAGUCGGAAUCCGCUAAGGAGUGUGUAACAACUCACCUGCCGAAGCAACUAGCCCUGAAAAUGGAUGGCGCUGUAGCGACGUUGCCUAUACUCGACCGUCAACGGCAAAGAUGGCUGGGCGGGCAACCGUUCGGCCGUUACGCCUUGACGAGUAGGAGGGCCGCGGCGACGUGCGCAGAAGGGUCUGGGCGUGAGCCUGCCUGGAGCCGUCGUCGGUGCAGAUCUUGGUGGUAGUAGCAAAUACUCCAGCGAGGCCCUGGAGGACUGAUGUGGAGAAGGGUUUCUUGUGAACAGCUGUUGCACAAGAGUCAGUCGGUCCUAAGCCCUAGGAGAAAUCCGAAGCGAUGGGUUGCCGUUAACUCUUAUGUGAAGGCACCCGUUUGGGCGAAAGGGAAUCCGGUUCCUAUUCCGGAACCUGGCAGUGGAACCGUUCCAAUUCGGGCCCUCUGAGGACUCGUCAGGGCAACCUGAAUAGACCCGGAGACGCCGACAGGAGGUUGGGGGAGAGUUGUCUCUUCUCUAUAAGCGAUCGAGUUCCCUGGAAACUUCUAGCAAGGAGAUAGGGUUUGGAUCGCGAAGAGCACUGCAGUUACGGCAGUGUCCCAAUCUUCCUCUCGGACCUUGAAAAUCCGGGUGAGGGCCACGAGGAACCCCACGCCAGACCGUACCCAUAUCCGCAGCAGGUCUCCAAGGUGCAAAGCCUCUAGUCGAUAGAU